AAUGCAAACACGCUAUCGGUACAGUUACAUAAAGAGCUAAUCUGAGCAAAAGCCGGUACCGGCAGCUCCCCUCCUAAUGCGCAGCAGAAACCUGAAGUAGCCGCACUUGCUAGAAGAAGAAACAGAAAAAGAGCCGAUGCUCUGUGCACCCUUCCCGGCACUGCCUCGGCUGCGCUGGCCUCUGACGGGGCAGAGACGGAAGACAGAGCUUUAGCUCAGCAGUAGCAGCAUCUGUCACCACCCCUCCCAGGGCGGGCGGGCGCACGGUCCCCCAGGAAGCAGAUCUAAUGCAUGAACGGACCUGGCCAACGCGGGCAGCUGUCUAGGUGCGUCUAAACUUCCCCACCAGGCAGGCCCCGCGGGUCUCAGAGAUGGAAGGAGCUCGCCAGGGGUGGCGAGGUGGGUAAUUCUGCUGCAGGGCCGAAACACCCCGAGUGCGCCCGAGACAGGCCCUCCACGAGAGAGGAAAUCUGAAAAAAAAUUACAGGGUAGCAAUUUCUGACUGACCUGCCUAUUGGGCUCACGGAGAAAACGGAAAUUUAACUCACAGUGGACUCCGAGCCAACGGGGCCACCGGGACAAUGGGGUUCGUGAACCAGAAUUUCCAAACCUGUUUUUGUGUCCAGUCUAAGAUACACUGAGAUCUUUGAUGUUCACUUUCGUGGUGGCCGGGCUUGUCCUUCGUCGUCCCCUCCCCCGAUCCCGCAGAGCUUCCCCGGGGGGCCUGGUCUCCUCCCCGCAGUGACUGUUUCAUCCUGUACUCCUGGCUUGCUCUCUGCCCUGCAGACGUGCUGGCCGCCUGCCUGUCCCUCGGCCGCUCCUACCGUGAUCCUGUAUCCAUCAGGACUUGUGUGUUCCCCGUUCCUUCUGCUCAGAAGACCUAGCUCCGCGUCCUCCUUCCUCAGAGAGCCCAUCUGCAGUGCCCGGCCUAGGUCAGCCCCCGCCCCUGCCCUCAUCCCUCCCUCGCAUCCCGUUCCUGUAUCUCUUGCACUGACCUCCUUCUGGAACUUUCCCAUCUCUCUCACCAGAAUGUAAGCCCCUUGACAGGUGGCUCCUCAUUGCCUUGUCCACUGGCAUAUCCCUGGGACCUAAGUCAGUGCUUGCACCCACCAAGGACGUGGGACGUGCCCUUGGCCACGCGCUGGCUCCUCUGGGAGGCGUAGAUGGCACAUCGCAGCCCUCACCCACUCAGCAGGCGAGGCAUUGGCAGAACUCCGUCAGCCGUUUAAAACGCAGACAGCUUUCUGUGAUCAAAGAAAAUGUGUACUUUCUUUUUUCUUUUUUUUAUUGAAAUGUGUUAAUUUCU